GACAGUUUGGCCGAGUGGUUAAGGCGCACGCCUGCUAAGCGUGUACUCUCGAGUGCGCAGGUUCGAAUCCUGCAGCUGUCG